CCCCAAUCUAUUUUAUUUUUUUACUUUGAGAAAGGAGCUUACUACAUUUCUGAGGGCCUUGCUAAGUUGCUGGGACUGGCCUCUAAUUUGCAGUCCUCUUGCCUCAGCCUCCCAAGUUGCUGGGAUUACAAAUGUGUGCCACCAGACCCAGCUCCAUCCAUUUAUUCUUUCAUUCAUUUUCCAUAUAUAGAUUUAUUUAACCAGUCUUGUGCCAGGCCCUUUGCUGUAUACUUGAGAUUCAGAGAUGAACAUGAGAGAGUUUGCAUCUUUAAUAAGCCCACAGCCUAGAUCAGGAAUAAACUGAUAAUUAGAGUAAAGUGAAGUACAGUAAUAUAGAAAGAUGCAGAAUGAUUACAAAGGAAUGAAGAGGAUCACUUGAUUCGAUUUAGGAGAAAAAAGUCUUUGAAACAAGUCUUGAAGACUCAGUUGAGGUGAACAGGCAGACCAACUUGGGCAGGAUGGGGAUUCCAAAUUGUAGAAACAUGUGGACAUGAGAGACUGUAGUAUGUGACAUGGAUGAUCAUGACAUUUAAUAUAGGCAUAGUAUGGGACAUAUAGGGUGUGAAGAGAUGUGGCUGCAGAAGUGGAGAAAGUCCAUAUCCUUAAGGGAUUUCUGUCACUCUAAAUGGUCUUUGCUUAGUACCAAAGGUAAUGGUGGACCCAAGAAAUAGUUUGAACAAAGAAAUGGCAUGAUUAGGUAUGUAAGACUUUUUUAGGUUUUCCACUAUUUAACUUUUCAUUUUUAUUUAUUACAUACUAUAAUAUGUAUUAAUUAUAUAGUAGUACACAAUAAUGAUUGGUUAAAAUGUUCAAUGCUUUGAAUUUUGACUUUUGAACUUUAUACAAUCACAUUUUUUUAAAAAAAGCAAAGUAAUCAAAGGGAAUACAAUAAAUUAUCUCAAAUCCAUCUUUACCCCAAAACACUCAUUGUAAACACCUCUAUUUAAACAGAUAGCCUCUUUAGUUUCCUAAAAAUAUAAAUAUAGUAACUUAUUUUUCCUUUUUUCUUAUAUAAAAUAUAACUAUUUCCAGUUAUGCACCUUACUUUUUUUUCUUAAUAAUGUAUCUUAAAAGAUUUUUCUGUAUCAAUACAUAGAG
rnacentral:lncRNA from 1 species